rnacentral:rRNA from 1 species
AUUGAACGCUGGCGGCACUGCCUUACACAUGCAAGUCGAACGGUAACGGGCCUUCGGGUGCCGACGAGUGGCGAACGGGUGAGUAAUGUAUCGGAACGUACCUUUCAGUGGGGGAUAACGUAGCGAAAGUUACGCUAAUACCGCAUAUUCUGUGAGCAGGAAAGCAGGGGAUCGCAAGACCUUGCGCUGAUUGAGCGGCCGAUAUCAGAUUAGCUAGUUGGUGAGGUAAAGGCUCACCAAGGCGACGAUCUGUAGCGGGUCUGAGAGGAUGAUCCGCCACACUGGAACUGAGACACGGUCCAGACUCCUACGGGAGGCAGCAGUGGGGAAUUUUGGACAAUGGGGGCAACCCUGAUCCAGCCAUGCCGCGUGAGUGAAGAAGGCCUUCGGGUUGUAAAGCUCUUUCGGCCGGGAAGAAAUCGUAUGGGUUAAUACCCUGUGCGGAUGACGGUACCGGCAUAAGAAGCACCGGCUAACUACGUG